AGAGUUUGAUCCUGGCUCAGAAGGAACGCUGGCAGCGUGCAUAACACAUGCAAGUCGAACGAUGAAGCAUUCUUCGGGAUGUGGAAGAGUGGCGAACGGGUGAGGAACACGUAAGAAUCUGCCCCUCGGUCGGGGACAACUUUUGGAAACGAAAGCUAAUACCCGAUACGCUGUGGAGUGAAAGAAUUUCGCCGAGGGAUGAUCUUGCGUCUGAUUAGCUAGUUGGUGCGGUAAUGGCGCACCAAGGCGACGAUCAGUAGCUGGUCUGAGAGGAUGAACAGCCACAUUGGAACUGAGACACGGUCCAAACUCCUACGGGAGGCAGCAGUGGGGAAUUUUCCGCAAUGGACGAAAGUCUGACGGAGCGACGCUGCGUGAAGGAUGACGGCCUGCGGGUUGUAAACUUCUUUUCUCGAAGAAGAAGCUCUGACGGUAUUCGAGGAAUAAGCAUCGGCUAACUCCGUGCCAGCAGCCGCGGUAAGACGGAGGAUGCAAGUGUUAUCCGGAAUCACUGGGCGUAAAGCGUCUGUAGGUGGUUUAAUAAGUCAGUUGUUACAAAUUGAGGCUUAACCUUAAACAAGCAACAGAUACUGUUAAACUUGAGUAUAGUAGAGGUAAAAGGAAUUUCCAGUGGAGCGGUGAAAUGCGUAGAGAUUGGAAAGAACACCGAUGGCGAAGGCAUUUUACUGGGCUAUAACUGACACUCAGAGACGAAAGCUAGGGUAGCAAAUGGGAUUAGAUACCCCAGUAGUCCUAGCCGUAAACGAUGGAUACUAGAUGUUGCACGUAUCGACCCGUGCAGUAUCAAAGCUAACGCGUUAAGUAUCCCGCCUGGGGAGUAUGCUCGCAAGGGUGAAACUCAAAGGAAUUGACGGGGGCCCGCACAAGCGGUGGAGCAUGU
rnacentral:rRNA from 1 species